rnacentral:tRNA from 2 species
GCCCCGAUGGUGAAAUUGGUAGACACAAGGGACUUAAAAUCCCUCGCCGCAAGGUGUGCCGGUUCGACCCCGGCUCGGGGCACCA